rnacentral:rRNA from 1 species
AUUGAACGCUGGCGGCAGGCCUAACACAUGCAAGUCGAACGAGAGGCGGACGGGUGAGUAAUGUCUGGGAAACUGCCAGAUGGAGGGGGAUAACUACUGGAAACGGUAGCUAAUACCGCAUACCAUCGGAUGUGCCCAGAUGGGAUUAGCUAGUAGGUGGGGUAACGGCUCACCAAGGCGACGAUCCCUAGCUGGUCUGAGAGGAUGACCAUCCACACCAGAACUGGGACACGUACCAGACUCCUGCGGGAGGCAGAAGUGGGGAGUAUUGCACAAUGGGAGCAAGCCUGAUGCAGGCAUGCCGCGUGUAUGAAGAAGGCCUUAGGGUUGUAAAGUACUUUCAGCGAGUAGGCGUGACGCGCAGAAGAAGCACCGGCUAACUCCGAGACAGAAGCCGCGGUAAUUC